UCCGUAGGGGGCAAGCGUUGUCCGGAAUCAUUGGGCGUAAAGAGCGUGUAGGCGGCCCGAUAAGUCCGCUGUGAAAGUCCAGGGCUCAACCCUGGAAUGCCAGUGGAAACUGUCGGGCUAGAGUCCGGAAGAGGCGAGUGGAAUUCCUGGUGUAGCGGUGAAAUGCGCAGAUAUCAGGAGGAACACCGAUGGCGAAGGCAGCUCGCUGGGACGGUACUGACGCUGAGACGCGAAAGCGUGGGGAGCAAACAGG
rnacentral:rRNA from 1 species